UACGUAGGUGGCAAGCGUUGUCCGGGUUUACUGGGCGUAAAGAGCGCGCAGGCGGUCGUUCAAGUCGCGUGUGAAAGCCCCCGGCUCAACUGGGGAGGGUCACGCGAUACUGAUCGACUCGAAGGCAGGAGAGGGAAGUGGAAUUCCCGGUGUAGUGGUGAAAUGCGUAGAUAUCGGGAGGAACACCAGUGGCGAAGGCGACUUCCUGGCCUGUUCUUGACGCUGAGGCGCGAAAGCUAGGGGAGCAAACGGG
rnacentral:rRNA from 1 species